AAUCAACGCUGGCGGCGUGCCUAACACAUGCAAGUCGAGCGAGAAAGUGUAGCAAUACAUGAGUAAAGCGGCGCACGGGUGAGUAACACGUGGGUAAUCUGCCCUUGAGUGGGGAAUAAC
rnacentral:rRNA from 1 species